AUAGAAUAAAGGAUUAUUUUAUUUAUUUAUUUUAAUAGUACAAAGGAUUAAUUAUUUUUUAUUUUGUUGAUGUAUAGAUCUUCUAAACUAAUUUCCGCAGCGUCCCUACCUCUCAAGUCUUGGCGGAUAUCCGACGGGUAGCGGGUUGGCGGAUACCCGACGGAUGGCGGGUAUCCACGGGUCGUGGGUAUGGGUGGCAAAUAGUAGUGAUGUCAAUGCUAAGAAGCAACAGAGCCCCUACCUCUCAACUCUCAAGCCUCGGCGGAUAUCCGACGGGUAGCGGGUGGUGGAUACUCGACGGGUGGCGGGCAUCCACGGGUCACGGGUAUGGGUGGCAAAUAGUAGUGGGUGACAAAUAAUUUUUUUUAAUAUACGUUUCGCUAAGUCAUGUUUGGGAUGAGAGUUCUCUUUAAUUUAUUUUUUUAUUUUAGUUUGAUGUGUAACGUAGACCUAUGCUAUAUUAACAAUUUUUUAGUGGAUAAUCUCCAUAAUUUAUAAAUAUAUUAAAAAAUAAUUUCU